UACGUAGGGGGCAAGCGUUGUCCGGAAUCAUUGGGCGUAAAGGGCGCGUAGGCGGCUCGGUAAGUAGGGGGUGAAAUCCUGCGGCUCAACCGCAGGGCUGCCUUCUAAACUGUCGAGCUCGAGCACGGUAGAGGCAGAUGGAAUUCCCGGUGUAGCGGUGGAAUGCGUAGAGAUCGGGAAGAACAUCAGUGGCGAAGGCGGUCUGCUGGGCCGUUGCUGACGCUGAGGCGCGACAGCGUGGGGAGCAAACAGG
rnacentral:rRNA from 1 species